ensembl:miRNA
GGACGGCUAGCCCCAUCUGGAAGACUAGUGAUUUUGUUGUUGUCUCAUUACCGUUCAACAACAAGUCCCAGUCUGCCGUAUGGUGCAGGCCACCGCA